rnacentral:rRNA from 1 species
UACGUAGGGGGCGAGCGUUGUCCGGAGUUACUGGGCGUAAAGGGCAUGCAGGCGGUCUGGCGCGUUUUGUGUGACAGCGGGUGGCUCAACUACCCGAGCAUACGAAAGACGGUUGGACUUGAGGGCUCGAGAGGGACACGGAAUUCCGGGUGGAGUGGUGAAAUGCGUAGAGAUCCGGAGGAACACCGAAGGCGAAGGCAGUGUCCUGGCGAGUGACUGACGCUGAGGUGCGAAAGCCAGGGGAGCGAACGGG